CCGCAUGAUUAUCAACAAGUCACAAGACAGUGUGCAUUCUCAAUUCCUGUGUGGAAGUGUAGGGGAACACAUAAAAGUAACAAAGGCAAUGUAUCAACUACAGAAAAAAGCUGCAAGGCUUAUUCAUAAAGUAGAUUACUUACAAGACACUAACAUAUUAUUUAUUAAUUCUGGUCUAUUGAAACUUCUGGAGCUAGUAAAGCUACAGACAUUGUGUGUCCUGUUCAAGGCUAAAGGUAAAACAUUACCAGCAAAUUUACAAAAAAUGUUUGUCAUCACUUCUGAGAGUACAGAGCAUAGAAGAAAAGGUCAUUUCAAACAGCAAUAUUCAAGGACAACUUUAAAACAAAUGUGUACAUCUGUGGUGGGAGUGAAAUUGUGGAAUUCUCUUUACAAUGAGAUAAAAGAUUGUAGAAAUAUAUUCCAAUUGAAAAAAAUAUAUAAAGAUAGAACAAUAAGAUCAUAUGGACAGCCAUAAGUGAUUACAUUUUGCUUUUUAUUUAUUAUUUCACUUAUUUUUUUGUCUGGUUUUGUAUUUGCUUUGUAUCAUUCCGUGAGGUGUAUAUUAUUAUUAUUAUUUCCUCUGUUUGGUUUAUAAUUUAUGAAGUUUUGCACUUGUUGUGUUUCCUUUGUGUUUUUUAAUUGUUUCAUUACAUUUGGAUGUAUUUAUUGGUUUAAAUUAUAUCCAUGACGUAAGACUAUGUAUUAUGUCAAAGAGGGCAGGAAACUAUAAGAUAUUUCUUCAUCCUGCUCCUUCUCAGGCAUUGUUGUGUGAAUUUAAAGUUGUAUAAUUGAGGUAUAAUUGUCUAUCGAUCAAAGAUGCCCAUCAAUGAAGGAGGUAAAUAAAAAUGAAAUGAAAAUGAAAGGAAAGUUAUUACUGUGUUUCCUGGUCUUGUGACUUUGCGCACGGGCCAAAAACUCUGCUGCGUGUCUGUGUGGACAUCUUGUGUGCCGCUGUGGUAUUAUUAUGAGUGUGUAUUAUUUAUUUCUUUAUUCUUUAGUGGAGAAAGAUCCUGUUGACUGUGGACUGUGUGUGACGUGUUGUUUGUUUCCAUUAAAAAAAAGGUAUGUCUGUUAUGAGUUUUUUGGCAUAGUUAAUUGUAGAAAAAAAAUAUAAAAUGAGUUGAUGUGAGUGGGAAAAAUGAGGUAUUUUGCUGCACAUAGUAAGGAUCCUUUUUCUUGAUAUACAUUUUUGUUAUUUGCUGAUGAAUAUAUUUUAUAUACUGUUCUUUAUUUAAUUAAUUAGAGACUAUGUUAUGCUUUAUUUACCUUUUAUUAUUAUUAUUAUUAUUAUUCCUUCCACACGUAAGCAUAAAUGAUUGAGUUGAGAGCACUGACGCUCGGAUGUGGAGAGAGAUCUUGUUUACUGUGGACUGUGUGUGAGAUGCCCUGUUUUUGUUUCCAUUCAAAAAAAAAGAAAAGGUGAAAAAAUCCUGCACAUCAACUCCUGUGUGUGCAUCACUAUAAAAGACACAACGCAGAACAGUGACUGUUACAUAUGUAAUGUAUUUUGCAAAGUGUCUAUCUGCAAUCUUUAUAAUUAAAAUGAAUGAAUUAGAAAUUUGUCAUUUUAAUCACUGUUUAUGUCGGUUCAGACAACUAAUGUAUUUUGGGCCUGUUCAUAAUUUCUUAUGCUACUGUAUGGAACUUGGUCCCAUCUUCUAUUUUGUGUGUUUUGCAGCAUCAUCUAUUGCCUGGAUUGCCUGGAUUUUUGCCUACAAUGGCUCCUGCUGCGUUUGCUUAAUCAACACAAACAUGAAUACAAAGACUGUGCCUGUCUCUUUAUCAACUUUAAGACGAAGGACACGUGUGGACGUUCAAAAAGGCUGGCCAAGAUAUGACGUUUCUGUUGUCCGAACUUGUGACAACUACAAAGACGCAUUAAAAAUAAUGCAACAAUAUCGAAACGGCUGCAACACCUCAGACCUGCAAUCUGAGGCAGAGAAUGAGGUUGAGCUGCCAGAAAAAACGAACAGGAAGCCAGUUUACCCAACAGCCAUCGUCUCGGGGACUCGGAUGAUAGCGAGGAAGACCCGGGAAAUGGUGACCUCGCAUCUCUGGGGUUGGCAAGCCAAUUGCACUGGCAGACUCCACCGUCUCGCCGAGUGCCAGCAAGAGUCAUUAGAACUCGUCAACUCAACUCUUCAACUGGAGAUAACUUUCUAGCACCUCACCAUGGGGAAGGGCGUAUUCAUAUGACUUCACCAGCACCUGCAUUAAACAUGCAGAGAGUUACACAAAGUAGGGACUGGGAACGACAGUCCCUCCUCAACUCCCUCCAGCCCCUGCACCAGCCCUCAACAUGUGGCAGACAGAGGAGCCUGGAUCCAGACUGGCCUACAGGCCAACAUGGCGAGGGGGAAGAAUGGCCGACAACAUUUCCCGCUCUGCGGCUGAGGUCCAGAUCCUUAGCCUGCUGGAAACUAUUAAACACACCCAAGACCAGCUGAUGGCGAAGGUCAACUUCUUAACCAGCAGGUUGACCAUUGCCCCGGGGCCAAAAGUGGAAAUGCCAGCCAAUAUCCAGUUUCCACUGGAACAGUUGGAAGCAGUGGAGGCAUUUGACGCAUUAUUGAAUGAACCUUCAAAUGGCCCAGCUCGACAAAGAGUGGUGAGGUUUCUUACUUAAUAUGAAUGGUGCCAUUAGGUUUAUUGAUUGUCCAUGAUUAUGCAAAUAUUCUAUUGAAUCAGCCCUGACAACCAGGCAGGUCCUGAACCGCCUUUUCCCAGUGGUAAGAUUAUGUCAGUGAGCCACAAUCUGCCUGGUUUGACAUCGUGUGUAAAGGUAGCAUUACAUUUCUGGACGCUUUCAACAAGAAAAAAUACAUUUUAAAUGCAACUUAAACUUAAACAUGUUUACCUGUUUGUGUAAAGCGAUGUCUAUGCCUUUUAGAUUUCUUCUUUGGCCACCAUAUGAGGCCAGGAUGUGAAGCAGGUGACCUGGAACAUCCUGGGCAGGAUCUUCACAGAUGACGUUUCACAUCAAAUCAAUUGGAAAGGUGUCAACAUCAAAAAGGCCUUUAGCAGGAUUGUAACUAUGACCUUGCUUUUCAGUACAGUAAGAAAAAAUGUGACAAGGUCAGCCACAGACGCUGAGGUCACCAAACACGCAAUCAGGUGGUUCAACCUGGCGGCGGAUCAGGCAGCGUGGAGACGAGUCCCGCCUCCACCUCCACAGACAGAGGAACAGA